UACGUAGGGGGCUAGCGUUGUCCGGAAUCAUUGGGCGUAAAGAGCGCGUAGGCGGCCAGAUAAGUCCGGUGUGAAAGUCACAGGCUCAACCUGUGAAUGCCGCUGGAAACUGUCUGGCUAGAGUCCGGGAGGGGCGAGUGGAAUUCCUGGUGUAGCGGUGAAAUGCGCAGAUAUCAAGAGGAACACCGGUGGCGAAGGCGGGUCUCUGGGCAGUAACUGACGCUGAGGAGCGAAAGCGUGGGGAGCGAACAGG
rnacentral:rRNA from 1 species